UGAUCUCGGAUGUAAUUUACAAAGGUAU
rnacentral:sRNA from 1 species